rnacentral:lncRNA from 1 species
AAUGAAUUUUAGUUAAAUACACAGUAGGAUCAAGUCAAAAUCCCCACCAGUGCUCUACCUCACGCUCGCUACCCGACGUGCAGGUCACCUCAUUAUAGCACUACGAUGUGCAAAUACGGGGUUUCAAACCCUCAAGACAUCAUUUACAUCUAUUGCUCACUUCAAGCCCGCCAAAAUCCUAGCUCGUUAUGCCUUUACCUUUCAAGUCGGCCUCCUCGCACGUCGAAUCUGAUCAAAACCACAACGAAUACGUCACAAUACGCCAAUGGAACAAUACCCAAUCAAAAACAAUAAAAAAUAUCAAAAAUCUCAAAAUUAGCCCCGACUCAGUUCUCGAAACUCAAAAGUUCUUAUAUCAAUGGAUUUCUUAUCUCGCCACGAGUCUAUACAUAUAAAGAACACCAAAAAACGGAGUCUGAAUGACCCCUCAAAUCCCAAUUUGCAAUACCAAAACUCAAGCCCUAGUUUUCCCCUCUUUUUCUAUGUUUACAUGAAUUUCUAGGUUGAUUCUACAAUUAAAUCAUGUUUUAGUUCAUAGAACUCAUCUACAAUCAAUCCCAGUAGAAACCCUCUUCAAUCUCCAUCCAAAAGCUCUCAAACAUCGCCCAAAGCCAAGUGGGAAGUGAGGUAAACGGGCUAAGUUCGAAUUUUUAUAAUUGGACACAACGCUCAGAUGUCG